UCAGCCAAGAUGGGGAGAGAGAGUCACCCACUCGCUGUGAGACCUGGAGAGCCUUGCUGUGCUGACCAGCCCCCACAUCACAGGAACACCCCUCAGAGAUUGAAGCUCUCGUUUGAUAGCACAGCCAGAGACCAACCGCACGGGAGCACCAGGGAUGAUGCCGAUGAAGCUGGCCUAUCUAGGCCACAGUGAGCAUACACUCUCAUCAAGUGCUCUCUAAUUAGAAUUCACUGAUACUUACUGGGGUGUGAGGAGACUUAUAACAAUGCUGGUGGAAGAUCUGCAGGGCCAAAUGCGUG